AACGUGUGGCAGUAUCGUAGCCAAUGAGGUUUAUCCGAGGCGCGAUUAUUGCUAAUUGAAAACUUUUCCCAACGUUUACUUUAGUUCUUCAUUAAAUCCCAUCACUGUAAGAUUCCUAAUAAU
rnacentral:snRNA from 1 species